rnacentral:rRNA from 1 species
CUCGUAGGUGGCCAACUAAGUCAUACGUGAAAUCCCUCGGCUUAACCGGGGAACUGCGUCUGAUACUGGAUGGCUUGAGUUUGGGAGAGGGAUGCGGAAUUCCAGGUGUAGCGGUGAAAUGCGUAGAUAUCUGGGGGAACACCGGUGGCGAAGGCGGCAUCCUGGACCAACACUGACGCUGAUGAGCGAAAGCCAGGGGAGCAAACG